CAUAAUGUAGCUCAAUGGUAGAGUGUUUGUCUAGCAAGCAUGAAGCCCUGAGUUCAAUCCCCAGCACUAAGA
rfam:Ictidomys tridecemlineatus contig026107, whole genome shotgun sequence.